rnacentral:misc_RNA from 1 species
GUAUUGAUUGCGUGAUCGCAAAAACAAAAAAUACAUUCUACACUGCAUACAAAGUUUGUGUGAAAACGUAAGCCCCCCUCCGAACAAGCCAAAGGGGGACCCACGCGGUGGUGCACAUAGGGGUGAGAUGGAUGUGUGUGAGGGCACUCGGGCGUGCACGACCUUUCGGGUCAGCGACAGCCCUCGCACCUCGGUUAUACAAUAAUGAUCCUUCCGCAGGUUCACCUACGGAAA